GGUGCAUCAGGCACUCCGUGGUCCAGGGUGGGGAGGAGAUGGCUGGGAGAUUUCAUUUCAUCCCGAACCCGCCCUGUUCCUACCUUCGCUCACCGCAGUGACCGCUCUGGGUGGAGUUCCGCCUACGUGCCUGCUGGGUCCCCAGUUGGAACGCCUUGCUGUGGGGCUUUGAGGCCUCUUCUUCCAGGGCUGGGCUCUCCUGCCUUCUCCUGGCUCUGCCCAUCAGUUUCCCAUGGAGCUGUGAAGCCACAGAAGCUCUGGGAGGUGCUGACCUUAGAGACGUCCUUGUGAGGCUCAGCUCUGGCCAGGGCCACCUCAGACUCUCCCUGAACACUGUUUAUGGUACCGAAGCCUCACACAUGCUAG